rnacentral:sRNA from 1 species
GCGAUGAGCUCGUUUGCGUAAGACGGACAGACAUUCCUUUUUAUGAGGAACAUGUUGUGGAGCAUGGUCUGGACGCCGCAAAUUUCGAGAAAACCCUGCCAGCUGGCAGGGUUU